rnacentral:rRNA from 1 species
GGUGAAGUCCCUCGCGGAUGGAGCUGACGAGAGUCGCAGAUACCAGGUGGCUGCAACUGUUUAUUAAAAACACAGCACUGUGCAAAAUCGUAAGAUGACGUAUACGGUGUGACGCCUGCCCGGUGCCGGAAGGUUAAUUGAUGGGGUUAGACUUCGGUCGAAGCUCUUGAUCGAAGCCCCGGUAAACGGCGGCCGUAACUAUAACGGUCCUAAGGUAGCGAAAUUCCUUGUCGGGUAAGUUCCGACCUGCACGAAUGGCGUAAUGAUGGCCACGCUGUCUCCACCCGAGACUCAGUGAAAUUGAAAUCGCUGUGAAGAUGCAGUGUACCCGCGGCUAGACGGAAAGACCCCGUGAACCUUUACUACAGCUUGGCACUGAACAUUGACCCUACAUGUGUAGGAUAGGUGGGAGGCUUUGAAGCACGUACGCCAGUAUGUGUGGAGCCGUCCUUGAAAUACCACCCUUGUAGUGUUGAUGUUCUAACGUCGACCCCUUAUCGGGGUUGCGGACAGUGCCUGGUGGGUAGUUUGACUGGGGCGGUCUCCUCCCAAAGAGUAACGGAGGAGCACGAAGGUGGGCUAAUCACGGUUGGACAUCGUGAGGUUAGUGCAAUGGCAUAAGCCCGCUUGACUGCGAGAAUGACAAUUCGAGCAGGUGCGAAAGCAGGUCAUAGUGAUCCGGUGGUUCUGAAUGGAAGGGCCAUCGCUCAACGGAUAAAAGGUACUCCGGGGAUAACAGGCUGAUACCGCCCAAGAGUUCAUAUCGACGGCGGUGUUUGGCACCUCGAUGUCGGCUCAUCACAUCCUGGGGCUGAAGUCGGUCCCAAGGGUAUGGCUGUUCGCCAUUUAAAGUGGUACGCGAGCUGGGUUUAGAACGUCGUGAGACAGUUCGGUCCCUAUCUGCCGUGGGCGUUGGAAGAUUGAAGGGGGCUGCUCCUAGUACGAGAGGACCGGAGUGGACGAACCUCUGGUGUUCGGGUUGUGUCGCCAGACGCAUUGCCCGGUAGCUAAGUUCGGAAUCGAUAACCGCUGAAAGCAUCUAAGCGGGAAGCGAGCCCUGAGAUGAGUCUUCCCUGAUACUUUAAGUAUCCUAAAGGGUUGUCGGAGACUACGACGUUGAUAGGUCAGGUGUGUAAGUGCUGUGAGGCAUUGAGCUAACUGAUACUAAUUGCCCGUGAGGCUUAACCAUACAACACCCAAGGGGUUU